rnacentral:rRNA from 1 species
AUUAGUUUGAUCCUGGCUCAGAUUGAACGCUGGCGGCAUGCCUUACACAUGCAAGUCGAACGGCAGCAUGAUCUAGCUUGCUAGAUUGAUGGCGAGUGGCGAACGGGUGAGUAAUACAUCGGAACGUGCCCUGUAGUGGGGGAUAACUAGUCGAAAGAUUAGCUAAUACCGCAUACGACCUGAGGGUGAAAGUGGGGGACCGCAAGGCCUCAUGCUAUAGGAGCGGCCGAUGUCUGAUUAGCUAGUUGGUGAGGUAAAGGCUCACCAAGGCGACGAUCAGUAGCUGGUCUGAGAGGACGAUCAGCCACACUGGGACUGAGACACGGCCCAGACUCCUACGGGAGGCAGCAGUGGGGAAUUUUGGACAAUGGGCGAAAGCCUGAUCCAGCAAUGCCGCGUGUGUGAAGAAGGCCUUCGGGUUGUAAAGCACUUUUGUCCGGAAAGAAAUGGCUCUGGUUAAUACCUGGGGUCGAUGACGGUACCGGAAGAAUAAGGACCGGCUAACUACGUGCCAGCAGCCGCGGUAAUACGUAGGGUCCAAGCGUUAAUCGGAAUUACUGGGCGUAAAGCGUGCGCAGGCGGUUGUGCAAGACCGAUGUGAAAUCCCCGAGCUUAACUUGGGAAUUGCAUUGGUGACUGCACGGCUAGAGUGUGUCAGAGGGGGGUAGAAUUCCACGUGUAGCAGUGAAAUGCGUAGAGAUGUGGAGGAAUACCGAUGGCGAAAGGCAGCCCCCUGGGAUAACACUGACGCUCAUGCACGAAAGCGUGGGGAGCAAACAGGAUUAGAUAC